rnacentral:rRNA from 1 species
AUUGAACGCUGGCGGCAGGCCUAACACAUGCAAGUCGAGCGGAUGAAGGGAGCUUGCUCCUGGAUUCAGCGGCGGACGGGUGAGUAAUGCCUAGGAAUCUGCCUGGUAGUGGGGGAUAACGUCCGGAAACGGGCGCUAAUACCGCAUACGUCCUGAGGGAGAAAGUGGGGGAUCUUCGGACCUCACGCUAUCAGGUGAGCCUAGGUCGGAUUAGCUAGUUGGUGAGGUAAAGGCCUACCAAGGCGACGAUCCGUAACUGGUCUGAGAGGAUGAUCAGUCACACUGGAACUGAGACACGGUCCAGACUCCUACGGGAGGCAGCAGUGGGGAAUAUUGGACAAUGGGCGAAAGCCUGAUCCAGCCAUGCCGCGUGUGUGAAGAAGGUCUUCGGAUUGUAAAGCACUUUAAGUUGGGAGGAAGGGCAGUAAGUUAAUACCUUGCUGUUUUGACGUUACCAACAGAAUAAGCACCGGCUAACUUCGUG